GCAUCACGCCGCGUGAGGAUGAAGCCUUCGGGUUGUAAACCUCUUUUAGUUGGGAAAAGCGAAAGUGACGGUACCAACAGAAAAAGCACCGGCUAACUACGUGCCAGCAGCCGCGGUAAUACGUAGGGUGCAAGCGUUGUCCGGAAUUAUUGGGCGUAAAGAGCUCGUAGGCGGUUUGUCGCGUCUGCUGUGAAAAUCCAAGGCUCAACCUUGGACCUGCAGUGGGUACGGGCAAGCUAGAGUGCGGUAGGGGAGAAGGGAAUUCCUGGUGUAGCGGUGGAAUGCGCAGAUAUCAGGAGGAACACCAAUGGCGAAGGCACUUCUCUGGGCCGUAACUGACGCUGAGGAGCGAAAGCGUGGGGAGCGAACAGGAUUAGAUACCCUGGUAGUCCACGCCGUAAACGGUGGGUGCUAGUUGUGGGUCACAUUCCACGUGAUCCGUGACGCAGCUAACGCAUUAAGCACCCCGCCUGGGGAGUACGGUCGCAAGACUAAAACUCANAGGAAUUGACGGGGGCCCGCACAAGCGGCGGAGCAUGCGGAUUAUUC
rnacentral:rRNA from 1 species